GGAAAGGAAUAGCCUCGGGAAACUGGGAGUAAUGCCUUAUAAGAUACGUUUGUUGCAUGGCAUUUGUAUUAAACGCUCCGGCGCCAUAGGAUGGACCCGCGUCCCAUUAGCUAGUUGGUGAGAUAACAGCUCACCAAGGCCACGAUGGGUAACCGGUCUGAGAGGGCGAACGGUCACACUGGAACUGAGACACGGUCCAGACUCCUACGGGAGGCAGCAGUGGGGAAUAUUGCGCAAUGGGGGCAACCCUGACGCAGCAAUACCGCGUGAGUGAAGAAGGUUUUCGGAUCGUAAAGCUCUGUUAUUGGGGAAGAAAAAAAGACGGUACCCAAGAAGAAAGUUCCGGCUAACUACGUGCCAGCAGCCGCGGUAAUACGUAGGGAACAAGCGUUGUCCGGAUUUACUGGGCGUAAAGGGCACGCAGGCGGUUUUUUAAGUCAGAUGUGAAAGGCCACAGCUCAACUGUGGACAUGCAUUUGAAACUGAAAGACUUGAGUAUUGGAGAGGCAAGUGGAAUUCCUAGUGUAGCGGUGAAAUGCGUAGAUAUUAGGAGGAACACCGGUGGCGAAGGCGGCUUGCUGGACAAAUACUGU
rnacentral:rRNA from 1 species